CCCCUUUUUUCAGAUCCAGGUGCCUACCAAUGCCGCCAAUCCCGUAACGUGCUGCAGAGACAGUUUCAAUGCGGGGCCAGGGGGGCAGCUUAAGGGGGUCCCGUCAGGUAGGCUGUACAGGGCCACAUGAUUUUGCUCAGCGGCCCUGGUGAGAUCCAAUGAGGAUUUAAUUUAGAUGUGUUUUUAGUAAUCCAAAUUAAGUGAAUAUACAGGAAAAGGAUAGUGUGCUCAUCAGUUGGGGACACAUGCGGUCAGUAGCACAAUUGUUGGCCAUCCAAAAGAAAUUUUUUAGUGGCGAACACAAAGGUGAGGUCAUCCAGUGGAUACUUGUUUGGCUUCCAUGUUUAAAAAGACAAAAAAAGGUACACAGAUUUUGCUUAAUCUUUGGCAAUGCCUACAAUCCUGUGUCCUGCUUAGAGGGUUGUUAAAAACCAACAAUAGUCCCAUAAUUUAUUGUAACAAUUAUUCAUAUUCCUCUUUAAGGACUUCAAUAUUUUUCUAUAAUGUUUGAAACACCUUUUCUUCAUUCUUGUAGGGCGACAGGAAGCAGCAAGCCAGGAGGCAAAUGAAGGACAACCCCCGCGGGAUCAGGAUGAGGCUGCAACCACAUCUGGUGGUGGCUUGGACAGGCAGACGACACAGAUGGUUAUCAGUGAAAUAUGGGCAUGCAGAGAGGAAGUGGAGGAGAUCCAUCUUGCCAACAGGGAAAUAAAAAAUCGGACCAGGAGGGUUGAACAUAAACUUAAAAAUUUGUUGGACAUUUUGGGGAGAGUGUAAAUGAUUUUUGUAGUUAGGAUGGUCAAAAAAAAGUACAAAGUGAUUUGUUUAUUUUUGAUAAUCCCAAAAGAAAAAAAAAAAA